GAAAUGCGAUAAGUAAUGCGAAUUGCAGAAUUUCCGUGAGUCAUCGAAUCUUUGAACGCUCAUUGCGCCCAUUGGUAUUCCGAUGGGCAUGCCUGUUCGAGCGUCAUUAUCCUCUCUCAAACCUCGGGUUUGGUGUUGGGCCGCGUCGCGCUACCCCCUGCGCGCCGGGCCUCAAAGACAAUGACGGCGUCCGUGGGACCCUCGGUGCAACGAGCUUCUAGUGAGCACGCGUCGAGUUUCAAGGACCCUCCGGGCCGGUCUGACCUUUUUUACUUUUCUAAGGUUGACCUCGGAUCAGGUAGGAAUACCCGCUGAACUUAAGCAU
rnacentral:misc_RNA from 1 species